UAGGGAAUCUUCGGCAAUGGACGAAAGUCUGACCGAGCAACGCCGCGUGAGUGAAGAAGGUUUUCGGAUCUUAAAACUCUGUUGUUAGAGAAGAACAAGGACGUUAGUAACUGAACGUCCCAUGACGGUAUCUAACCAGAAAGCCACGGCUAACUACGUGCCAGCAGCCGCGGUAAUACGUAGGUGGCAAGCGUUGUCCGGAUUUAUUGUGCGUAAAGCGAGCGCAGGCGGUUUCUUAAGUCUGAUGUGAAAGCCCCCUGCUCAACCGGGGAGGGUCAUUGGAAACUGGUAGACUAGAGUUCAGGAGAGGAAAGUGGAAUUCCAUGUUUAGAAAUGAAAUGCGUAGAUAUAAGGAAGAACACCAGUAGCGAAGGCGGCUAACUGGUCUGUAACUGACGCUGAGGCUCGAAAGCGUGGGGAGCAAACAGG
rnacentral:rRNA from 1 species